ACCAUAUUGUUAAUAUCUCACAAUGAUUGUGUUGUAUUUCAUAAUUCAAAAUUUAGAGAUGACAGAAUUAAUAAUUUUGAAUGAGUCAAAGAAGACGAAGGGUACAUAUUCAUGUCAAUUAAAUAUUUUAACAAUGAUUAUUUUUAUAACAAAUAAAUACUAUUUUUUUGUAGGCGUACACUAUGAACUUUAUAAUGAUCUAC
rnacentral:lncRNA from 1 species